rnacentral:misc_RNA from 1 species
AACUGAGCUAGUUUCAUUUGUUCCUAUCCUCUAGUCUCUUCAACAACCAUUAAAAAAAAAAAAACUCUUAUUGUGUUCAAAUUUAUAAGAGUUUAUACUUCUCUUUCUUUUACUUGUUUCUCAUUGAGAGAGUGAGGAAACAAACAAGUGAAAGUGAAGUAGCCAUGGGAAGAAAACUUGAUGCUUUACUAGGAAGAAACUUUAAAACUAGUAAAUUUAAGGCCACUGCAAAUUUAGCCAUUUCCAGGGUUACUGUACUCAAGAACCAACGCCAAGCACGGUGCUCGAUCGCGCGGUCUGAUGUAGUUCAGCUCUUAAACCUUGGGUACCAUGAAAGAGCUCUUCUAAGGGUUGAGCAAGUAAUCAAGGAACAAAAUAUGUUGGAUGUGUUUGACAUGGUAGAAGGCUAUUGUCUUCUCACUAUUGAAAGAAUCAACCUUAUUCAACAAGAGAAAAUAUGUCCUGAGGAAUUGAAGGAGGCGAUAUCGAGCUUGAUUUUUGCAGCUUCAAGGUGUGGUGAAUUCCCAGAACUUCAAGAGCUUCGAGGUAUCUUCACAUCAAGAUUUGGGAAAGAAUUCGCUGCUCGUGCUGUUGAGUUAAGAAACAAUUGUGGAGUAAAUACUAAGAUGAUACAAAAGCUGUCAACAAGGAUGCCUAGCUUAGAACAAAGAACCAAAGUGCUUAAGGAAAUUGCUGCAGAGAAUAACAUUGUUUUGAAAAUUGAGGAAAUAAUGUUGGAAAAUACAGAGGAGAAGGAGGUCACCGCGAAAAGGAAGGACGAGCCUGAAGAUCACGAAUCAGUUUUGCCUCAAGAUGUAGACCAUGAAGCUAGGAGAAAAUUUAAAGAUGUAGAAGCUGCAGCUCAAGCAGCUUUUGAGUCUGCUGCUUAUGCAGCAGCAGCUGCAAGAGCAGCUGUGGAACUCUCUCGGUCUGAAUCACGUGAUACAGAUGACCCCAAGAGUCCGAGUCAAAAGCCAAGGGAUGUAUCGGACUCUCGUGAGGAUUUGAAAUCUGAGUUUCAUGCAGGAGAGGAGAAGAAUAAUGAGGGAGUUGAGAAAAUCGAGACUAGUCAGAACUAUGGUUUUCAUUCUGAAGUCGAUCAAUUCUCAGAUGGAGAUGAAGUGGAAGAAGUCGAACAGAAGAAGUUUGAAAAACAGUUCAAGAGAUCAGUCUCGGUUUCAAGUUCUGAUAUUUCAGCAGACGACAUUCUUGUUGAUGAGGUGAAAAGUCCCAGACAUGGUGUAAUUUAUGAUGAAAUAGAUGAAGAAGUUGGGGAGGAAAACAGAAUCCCGUCAUUAAAACAUCCUAAGAAUGAAGUUUUUGGUUCUCCGGUGCACCAAGCAGCAAAUGAGAAGGAGAUUGAAGGAUUUACAAAGCAAGGUGCAGAAAAACUAGACAUAAAUAAGAAGCCAAUAUCAAUGAGAACUAGGAAGAACUAUCACUGGUGAACCAAGAAUGGGUAGAUGUUAAAGAAAAGGAGAUCAAAAGGAUUCGUAAAGCAAGGUACAGAAAACCUAUACAUAAAUAAGAAGCCAAUAUCGAUGAGAACUAGAAAAAACUAUCACUAGAGACCAAGGAUGAAUAACUGUUUUGCUGAGAUUUUGCCAGUUGGUGCAUAUAUUGUGCUUAGUCAAUAUAUCAUAGCUGCAUAUUUUCUUUAUCUUUGGAGAUUUUGUGAGUUUGCGGAUAUAUUUUGAUGCUUUUGUCAAUAUAAUGUAGCUUCAUAUUCUGUUUGUUUGAUUAUAAGCUCUAGACAGAAGCUGUGAUAUUUUAUAAUAAUCAAAGCUACAUCCAG